rnacentral:rRNA from 1 species
GUCCUAUAAUCGACACCCCACGCUAUACCUUACCCCCCCUAGCCAACCAACCUAUAUACCGCCGUCGCCAGCUCACACUGUGAAUGCACCACCGUAAGCACAAUCAUCACCCAUUAAAACGACAGGUCAAGGUGUAGUUAAUGGGGGGGCAGUGAUGGGCUACAUUUUCUUCACUAGAAAAUACCACCCGCACCAUGAAACCUUUGCCCACAGGUGGAUUUAGAAGUAAGCCCUGACAAGACAUGUCAACCUGAAAUACGCCCUGGGACGA